UACGUAGGGGGCAAGCGUUGUCCGGAUUUAUUGGGCGUAAAGAGCUCGUAGGCGGUUCGUCGCGUCGGCUGUGAAAACCUGAGGCUCAACCUCAGGCCUGCAGUCGAUACGGGCGGACUUGAGUACUGCAGGGGGAGACUGGAAUUCCUGGUGUAGCGGUGAAAUGCGCAGAUAUCAGGAGGAACACCGGUGGCGAAGGCGGGUCUCUGGGCAGUAACUGACGCUGAGGAGCGAAAGCGUGGGGAGCGAACAGG
rnacentral:rRNA from 1 species